rnacentral:tRNA from 2 species
CGCGGGAUGGAGCAGUUCGGUAGCUCGUCGGGCUCAUAACCCGAAGGUCGUAGGUUCAAAUCCUACUCCCGCAACCA